GGAAUUCUGCAAGUUAGGAGCUGGUUCAAAUGUGGCCCAACAGAUAAAUUUUGUGAUUAAAAAUAAAUAAAUGUCGAGCAGUUUCCUAGCAAGAGAUCCAAUGUUAAAAAUUUAUAGAGAUCCACAACAUUGCGAUGUGAGGUCUUACUUGUGCAUUGUUCAUAUGAGCAUCUGAAACAACAAGUCACAAACAUGGCAAUUGGUGAAGUCCACCUCAAAAAGGAAAACCACAUCUGGUAUCAUCUAUGGUUUAAGCAUGCAGCAACUAACAUGAUUAGGGGUUUAAAUAUCUGGGGUAGGCUUGUCUCUAGGCCUUAGUAUGAGCAUAGCUUCGGGAGACGCAUUUUCACACGUUGCCAACUCUUUACAUGCUUCCACAUAAGCUUUGGUUUCUUCUCCAUGGUUGAAACUGACAAAAAAGUAUUCAAACAUCCCUGCUUUUGAUAGCAGAAACUUCAUAAACCACAUGUCAUUUGGUAAAUACUUCGGAUGAUCCACCGAGACAUGUUUGAGAUUAGCAAACAGGUCAUCAUAUAUCACUGCAUCAAGAAUAUCUUGGUCGAUGGCAUCAUCAUUAUCAGUUUCAACUUCCGGCCUGACUACCUACACAAGGAAGUCCAAGAUUGUUGUGUCAGUUAAACAACUCAAUCCAUUAAUGGAUGUCUGUUAACCGAGACAUACAAGUUCAAGGGUGCAUCUUAUAUUACCUGAAUUUUGAGUUUUUCAAUGUGAGGACCAAAUCUCAGUGAAGAAAAUAUCGACAUAAUGCUUGGGAAUUUGCCGAAAUUUGCAGUCUGUUGCACAGCCCUCAAGUUCUGGAAUGUCCAUAAAAUCCUUUCCAGCGGAUUUUCCAUAGUCUGGAAAACAUAGAACACAGUUAGAUUAGCAUAUGGUCCUAGUGCAAGUUUACAUCGGGGUGACAUAUAACUCAAAUCAGCUAAGAGUGACUUUGUUAGCAAUGUGUUUUCGUAAUCGAAGAGGGAAACUGUUAGCAAUGUCUGUUUGCUGCAUCUAGAGUGGGUUUCAUGAAUGAAUUCACAUUGCACAGUGCCAUACAAAAAAUGAGAAAGGUGAACAGAUGAUUGCCUAUAUAUCCAGUAUCCACGCACCAAAAGAUUACCAUUAUGACUUAAAAAAUUAAAUAGUUACUUCCAAGCUCUUACCAUUACUAUUUAUACAAGAUGACUGUUGAAUACUUCAUGUAGUAACGCCAUGCUCUUAAUAGGAGUUAAUUGCAAAAAACCACCACAUUUGGGGCUUCGUUUACGGAAAAAUACUUGGUCCCUAAUUAUUUGCAAAAGUCACCAUGUAUCUAGUAAACUUUUUGCAAAUUGCAUUGAUCAGGUGAUUUAGCCUGAUUGAUCACUUUCUGACAAGUGGGGCCGGAUUGUAAAGGGAUGAUUUGGUAAAAAAUUAACAUACACCUCCCUGGAUUUCACAAAGGCACCCUUAUUUAAAAUUUUUUAAAGCAAUCAGCCCCCCUCCCACCCCCGUCCCCUGCCUCCUCCAAGGUGGUGGCUGGCCACCACGGGAUGGCCUCCCUCCUCCCUGGCCUUGCUCGCGGGGCGGCCUCCCUCUUCCCUGGCCGGCGGCUCGCCCCUAGCCACAAGCUCAGGGCCCCGGCAUGAAGUGGCUUCCAAUCCUACGCGUUCACCCGGCCCUGCCGCUGUGCUGUCGGAGCUCCGCCGCCUGGCGAGUGCUCCGCCCAGCGUGCUGCUGCUCGGCACUGCAACUCCCCGCCGGUGUGGCUACUGCUGCUCGCCGCCGCUGGUCCUCGUCGCUGCGGCUGCCACGGGCACGCCGAGCAGGAGGUUGUGGCGCUGUGUCGCGAACACGCCGACCUGCUCGUGAUUCCUGUCCGCCACCGCGACGCGCACCGGGGCGCGCACGCCGCGCUCAACUGCUCGCUCCUGCCCAUCUCCUCCCUGCUCCACCUCCUCCUCGUCUCUGUGUCCGCCCUGCCGGGGCUCAUGCUCCCCGCCACGGCAUCCAAAUGGUCGGCAGGGUUUGGGCGCCGCCGUGUCGGCCGAGCUCGCGCUGCUUCGGCAGUAGCGCUGCUCCACGGGGGGAUGGGUUGAUUGCUUUUAUUUUUCAAAUAUAGGGGUGUAUGUGUUAAUUGUUUGCUGAGUCAGCUCCUUACAACCGGUUCCAUUUAUAUGACAAGUAAUUUCAGACUGAGGGAGCAUUUUGGAGGCUCCUAGGGCUAUGUGCAAAGCCAGAUUCGCCAAACACAACCUUCAUAGUAGUAUUUGUUUUACACAUGAGACCCACCUAUUGUUGGCUUACUAUUUCUUUGAGGAGCUCGCCGCGUAGAGGACCUCUGCAACAUCCAACACCGAGGAGCUCAAAUGUCACGCCUUCGCCUUCGUGGCGGCCAAUGAGUCGCCUGGCUCUGAAGAUCCAAGCGAGGGCCAGCUGAAACCUCUCACUCUGUUCUCUGAGCCUCUCACCAACCCCCUGUUGUAUCUGGAUGAACUAUCAAUCCUAGAUCUGGGCUAUGACGGAGAAGAGCGGUCAGUGCGGGGGCGGCGGUUAGGGCUCUGGGACAAGGGGGAGGUGGAGGGGAAGGGGAAGGGAGGUGGAAGAUGAGUUGCGGGCGAGCUAAAACUUCCUUCGUGCCACGGGUUUCCUAGAUGGAGUGCGUUCCAAAGUGACCUUCGAGGCAACAAAUAUGCAAUCUGGGAGGCCAGAUAUGGAGAGCGCUUCAAAAAUUGUGAUGGCAUGGCACGGGAUGGCGACUCUACUAGAGUUGCUCUCAGCAAUAUCAGUGCUUUGACAAUUAAAUAACGAUGGACAUUUCCUCAAAAAGAAAAAUAAAUAAUGGACAUAGUUUAGAGAUUAACAUCAAUGCAUGUCGCCUCAAAUUAAAAAAAAAUAGAAUUCAACUAUUUGUUCCAUGGACAUUUGACGCAAUGUAGUUUUGUACCUGAUCUGAGUCGGUGUGCAAGUAAAGCUUCUUAACAAUAGAAAUUCGUCGGAAAGUGUUGAUGAAGUUUGGGGUCCCGAAUAGGGGAUCAAUGGAAAUUUGUGCCACCUCCAGCAAUGGGAGAUCCCCCACAAUUCGGCAUCCGUUGUCAAGGGACAUGGUCAACCUGAGGAAACGGAGGUUGGGCGCCUGGAUGGCACAUGUUACGAUAUCAGCCUCAUCGUCGCCGAUCAUGACAUCAUCCAACAAGAGCCUUGUGAGGUGCGGUGCCGAGGAGAUUAUGAGUUGGAGUUGCGCCGCGGCGCCAUGGAAAGGGAGGACCACGAACUCGAGGUAGAGGGUGAAGAGGUUGGGGAAGCCAGCGAAGCCCUGAGGAGCGCGCAACAAGUGGCAAUAGCCACAGAGCUGGAGGUGGGUGAGUGUGCUGCAGGAGUAAAGGGCCGGGCCGACCACGGGCGGGCGGGGCGAGUGGGCGGGCCAGGGCUCGUCGAACUUGAGCUUGAGCAUCUUGACGCGCUUGUGCGCCAGGGCAAGGAGCCAGCGGGCAGGGCGGUGGGAGUGGCGCCUUUGGACAUGGGCGGUGAAGCUGCGGAUGGGCGCGGCGCACGGCCAUAGGCUGCAGGCAGUGAAUUUGUGGACGGGCGCGGCGCACGGCCACAGCAGGAAGCGUGGAUCGCGUGCGGUGGAGGAUCCUCGACUGAACCAAAUGUCGAGGCCGGGGACGGAUUCCCAUCGCCGGUGCCAAGCGGGGGAGAGACAGCAGGUGCCGACCAACUUCUCGAAGGGGAGCCGACGGAGGAUGUCAUCGAGCAUCUCAGGCGGAAGGGACAUCAGGUAGUUUGGGCCGGCCAUCGGCGCCUCCUCCCCCCGCCGUUGACUCGUGGAGGAACCCACGCCCCCCAUCCUCUCCAUUGGGGAUUUGUGGGCUGGUGUGGUGGGAGUGAGGGGUGCUCCAGCCGCGUGCGCUUUUAAUGCGUGUUGCCGCACACAUCCAUUUUUACAAUUAAUGAUGGUAUUUCUACAAAUAUAUUGAGACCUUGAGACAUGAAAGUUAAUUUUGUCGAUAUCAAAAGGAUAUGUUGCUUAUUAUUAAUCUUGGUUGUUUCACAUUGUCAACAACACCAGAUACAUAAUGAUAGUAUUCGGAAAGGUAAAGAAAAGACUUACAAAGCCUGCAUUUGUGGGAUAAAUCCAUCUAUCCGCCAACGAUCAUAAUAAUACCUCUCAAGGAGAAAAAUGAUUCCUUUUCUGCAAUAGCACACACAAUUUCCGGGAAAGAGAUCAAUGCAAGUUUAGAGACAAAACUAUGCAACAUAAAUAAGAUGAAUAAUUGUCCCGGUUUAUUACCUUUUUUACCGACUUCGCAAUGCUACGUCCCUUGCGAGUUGUGGUGGGACCAUGUUGCUCCCUUGUCUUCUCGCCCAUACCUCUUCCAUAGUCUUCCUCAACAACGGUGGCAGUGGUACACCUAUGGUUUGUCGUAGGCCGCGAGAACAAGGGGGUGGCGAGGGGAAGCUGAAUGAAAUAGCUGAUGAUGAAAACAAUGCAUAUUUUGAUCUUCAAAGUGGAUACAAAGGAGUAUGCUUGUAGUAAAUUUUACUAAGUAAUUUUAUAGUUCGAAAUUGUAAUAUGUAAGAAGCAUGAGAACAUGUAUCAAAUUACGUGCAUGAUAACAUUCAAAUCAUCGAAAUGAAACGUAGAUCGGCUGAGAGAGGCCACCAGCAGGAAGCAAGCAGAUGGUGAGAUGGGAUGGGGCAGUGGUGGAGUAUAUUUCACAAACCUUGACCUUGAUUGAUGAUCCACAGGGGAAAUCCUGCUCGUGUGCAAUGGAGUUUGGAUUCAGGAAAGGAUCCAUAGGCGUCGCCGGGGCAGAUCUAAUUGUCAAUGUUUCAUGUGGUGAUUGAGCUGGUUACUUGUCAAUAAUUUCACAAUAACAUGCGCGCGCACGCACCCAUCAAGCUGAAGCAGGAGACAACACCCUAGAGCCCGACAAGGUAGCCACCAACACCGUCGAACGCCCUGCUUAGCCGAGACCACAUGGUAGACACCGGUGUGCUACCAAAGCCGUUGAACCGCAUCAUAAAGAACAAACUAAGCAGUCAGAGUUUUCGCAAGCAAUAUAUUACUGCGUAACCGUGCACUUUCUCCAGAGUUUUCUCAAGCCGCGGCUAAGUUUUCCUUAUAACACUGUAGUACAGUUUUAUUUGAAUGUUGACAAUUUUAGGAAGAUGGUUAUGUUCAUUAAGUUGCUGUUAUAGCCUGCUCAUAACUGAAUGAGAUUAGACAAGAACAUGAAUAAUGCAUUGCGCCAUCUAAUGAGCUUUGCAUUCCCAUUCCAAGUGUCAAGUUGCCUAGUAUUAUGUCAUGUUGUAGGCUUCAGUCACAUAUUCCCCUUUGUUUCUUCUUUCUUUAUCAUGCAAGGUUCUAAAGUGCUUAUUAGUGGCUUAAAAGGGUUCGUCACUGUGAUUUCCCCAUCUUCCUCUUUUGUGACAAAUGCUAAAAGUACUCCCACUGUUCAGUAAUGUUGAUGGUUUUUGCCAUGGUCAUGUGAAUUAAGGAAUAUCCUCAGUUAAUCAUCAUUUCCUUCUCUUAAUCCUAGGUCAUCUAAUCUUUUCUUAAUUCUGGUGUGCUCUUUCCAAGGAAGAGCAUUAACAGGAGAAAUACUUGUUAAUCAGAGCAAUGCCAAAAUGGCAUACACUUGUGGACUCGAUGACAUGGCUAAAACCAUUCUUUUACCUAGAAAAUGUAAAACGACAUACUCUUCUGGACUUGGUGAGAUGGCUAAAACCACCCAUCUUGCCUAGAAACUGUGAAAAGAUAUACGCUUCUCGACUUGAUGAGAUGGCUAUAACCACCCCUAUCUGUGGACUUGGGAGGGAGACUUAUUGUGUGUAGCAGUCAAUCACAUGUUUUUUAACUUGCCUCAGCCUUUAACUCUUCAUAAAUUUUGACAUCAAAACAGACAAAUGGACACAAGAAUACUUCAGUCAGUGUGACAUCAUUAUUGUAGACUUCAUAGAGCUUCAUAAAUCUUGAUGUUUUCAUGCUUACGCUGACAUGACAUAUUCUUGAAGCACAACACUGCAGCAGGCAACUGAACUCAUGAUUCAAAGACUUGCUAAAUGCUAUUCUUAUUUCGCUGAAAGAGUUAUGCGUUUGUGAGUUCUAAACAUGCAUCCUAUUAGUAUCGUUGUCAAUGCUUGGGCUUGUAACACAGAAACUUAUAUGAUUUUACAGGAACCAUAGAAACUUAUCCAUGAGAAAGUUUGUAGCGCAGCUUUCCUGCAUCUUGUGAACAUAAUCAAUGGAUGUCAACUUGUGUAAUUGAAGUAUUGUGGUUUGCAGGUCAAGUUUGGUGUCAUCUUCAAUGACGACCGAUGCGCAAACAUAUUUGAAGCAUUAGUUGGCACCUUACGGGCUGCCAAGAAGAGGAAAGUUGUCACCUACGACGGUGAAAUGCUUCUGCAGGGUGUUCAUGACAAUGUGGACAUAACCAUGUUCCCUCCCCCCACGGUUGCUGCCACUUGAAGUUUGCAACACCGGCAAGUCUCCCACAUUAUUGUGUCGAUCUGCUUGUAGUUUGUUGUGCUUAAAUUCCCAUAAACCGUUUGGUGCUCCCAGAAGAGUACUAUUGUGAGAUGUGAACUCAUGAUCUAUGCAAUGGCUUUGCUCUAUUGCUUGCAUGGUUGUUGAAACUCGGUGCUGAUGUACUGUGUUGUGAAAGAUAGAGCAACAAGCUCCAACUUUGAAGUAAAUGGCCACUGUGUUAUUGAGAGUGUACUACACAUUGCUUGUCUAACAUUGACAUCUAUAGUACUUUCACUUCUUUCUUUGCACUGUCUUAUAUAAAUUGUGAGAUAGUUUGAUUUUGGCAGUGCGGAGUGUCUCCUUCUGUUCAUAUUAGUCAUGGCUCAUGAGGAUGGGAGACAUUGGGAAGAAAAUAACCAGCGGGAACCAGCCUGAAGAGGCGUCCUGCUUUUCACCAGCGUCAUCUUUCAUUGAUGCGGCAAAGGCUAAUCAGUUUGUGGCAAGAGUUGUGAUGAUAAUUUUGUUAUAGUUAUCCACGACGUUGAGAUGUGAGGUCCUACCUUUUGCAGGGUUCAUCAAUAUAGCAAUCAAGGAUUUGAUUGAUCUUCCCUUGCUAGGACUGCACAUCGUAUGGUUGAUGUAGAAUUUAUGAUCAUUUCUGGUUCUACCUAUACAGUUUUUCAAAAUCUGUGAUACAUUGGAAUCUCUGUAUGAGAAAUAUAGGGCAAAGUAAAGAGCAUUUGGUACUUUGUGACGGCAAAUGUAUACAACAAAUCACAAGAAAUGGUUGAAUCAAAUAGGGUCAAAUGAUAAUGUUGAACACGGUCAUACAAUUUUUAUAGAAUUUUUACAAGUUACAAUUCUACCAAGUAAAGACUCCACCUAGGAUAUAAUUUUGAGAGGCUCCAUACAAUGUUGAACACGAUCCAGUUAAUGAUAGGGUUGUAUGGACUAGAUUGAGAUUCUGAUAAAAAUUGGUCUCCUGGCCAGUGACCACGAAUUUUAUCUUAUUACUGACCAUAUAUGGUCAAGGAUUUAUUAGUCAAUUUGCUGAAAGUGGCCACCAAUGACCUCUUACCAAGAGUACGAAUUACUAUCAGAACAAACUAAACACUUUCGGCCUUCCGCAAAAGGGGAAAGACAUUUAUAACUUCAACAAUUAUCGUUCCGAUCUUAUACGAACUUCCAAACACAAAGUCGAGGAAAAACAAAAGGAUGUAGAUGGCUAGAGAAUGCAUUUCAAGUCUAAUGUUCCAUGUUUUUGCAUUUGAAAAUUGGUUUGUGCAUAAGGAUGGGAGGCAUAAUAAUGCACGUGCAAGUAUCGAGACGACAGAGAACACAAGACUUCAGACAACAAGUUUGUUUGGUUGGUGCCUAAAUUUGCCACACUUUUUGUGCCAAAUGUGUCAGCAAGUCAUAUUAGUCACACCUGUGGCAAGAUUUGGCAAGAAAUUUUAUGUAUGAUAAGCAGGGUAGUGUGCUAAGAAAUUAUGGCACACCACAAGUGAGCCAAAGAAGCAAACAUUACACCACGAGAGUGCAACAUGCCUAACACGGGUGGGUGGAAGGAAUUCUGCAAGUUAAAAUCUGGUUCAAAUGUGGUCCAACAGAUAAAAUUUGUGAUUAAAAAUAAAUAUAUGACUAGCAGUUUCCUAGCAAGAGAUCCAAUGUUAAAAGAAUUAUAGUGAUCCACAACAUUGCGAUGUGAGGUCUUACUUGUGCAUUGUUCAUAUGAGCAUCUGAAACAACAAGUCACGAACAUGGCAAUUGGUGAAGUCCACCUCAAAGAGGGAAACAAGCUGUUUUUGUGCAACAAUGAUCAAUAACUACAUCCGGUAUCCAUAUCCAUGGUUUAAGCAUGCAGCAACUAACAUGAUUAGGAGUUUAAAGAUUUGGGGUAGGCUUGUCUCUAGGCCUUAGUAUGAGCAU
rnacentral:lncRNA from 1 species